rnacentral:lncRNA from 1 species
AAAAUGCAAUGCCAUCUCUUUCAUAGCAAUUUUUAAGAGGGAAUCAAUGCUUGGGAUAUGCUGAGAAGUGGAUUCAUAAGCAAAAUAUCAUUUUAGGCUGGGAGUAUACUGCACUCAGAUUGAACACGCUACCCUGAUGCCACUAUAAGCACAACAUCAAACUACUUAGCAUACUUAAACAUUCAUUAAAGUGAAUUAAGAUACACCAGUAAUUAUGACAAUAUAACUUCAAAAAAACUUUUCCUUACUUUUGCUCAACUUAAAAAAAAACGAUUGCAUCACAAGGCAAAUCUGCCCUCUUAAAGUUGAACACACUACAUGUACGCACAAAUCAGCUUCACAGAAGAAAGAAAACUAAGUCAAUCUAAACCAAACAAAAUGCCCCAAUUCAGUGUUAACAAUCCCCUCAUAAAACUUUAAAAAAACUUUCCUCGAUCUGUUGAGGAAACGAAAGAAGCUAAGACUAAUACAAACAUCAAGAGAUCUGAUUCUGACCAAGAUCAUAAAAAAAAACAGAGCCGAAGAAGAAGCAAAAGUAGGAACCAAAAAAAAGUUUCAGCAAUUAAACAAACCAACAAUAUCCAUCAAACAAAGGUAAUAGGACAGCUGACAUAUGAACAAUUUCCAUCAGUUAUUAUUCCCAAACAAAUCUGCAGGUUCAUGUCAUUUAAUAAAGAGCCGUACCCGGACAACAAAAAAUGGCAACCAAAAUGCCAAAUAAAACUCAAGGAAAAUGUGAAGAGAGUUCUAGCAAACAAAGGUCCAGCGAAUCAACUAGCCAACUCCCAAAUGCAACAUAAAUUCGGAUGGAAAUUCACAGCUCCAAAGCUCCGAACCCCAGCGACAAAACCCGACUUAUACUUCAAAUCAAAAACAUUAUUGAAAACCAGAGAUCAAAGAGAAAUGCUGAGAUUUGUAAUUUUUGAUUCCUUUCGAAAUAAAAUAAUACUUGAAUCGAAAAUUAAAACUCAGACUAUAACUUUUAUAUUUUUUUUUUGAAAAGAUGCAGACUGAAAUUUAAAAGAAAAGGCUUGAAGAAAUGGAAAACUCCAAGAACCCUAGAAUUUUACUCCCUAAUUUUCUGAAAAUUUCUUUUUUCCUCUAACAAGAAAAGAACUCACCUUAUAUAUAAACCUCAAAAUAUCUCGAAGCUUCUGCCUAGAAUCCGAAAAUCUUCAGAUUUUUGAACAAUUUCGGGACAAAUGGAGGGCGUGGAUUGAUUCAUAUCUAUCCAUGACUCCCAUUCGUCCAACAAUUAUCCUUUUGAAUUUGAAAUCGUGCAAUUUUGAGAGAAUAUCGUACUCCUCGGACAAAUCUAUUGAGUAUAAGGUGACGUGGAGGGAGGGGACCAAUGAAUGAACUCACUCAAAACUCAAACGAGUUGAGGCGAAGAAGAAGAACAGUAGAGGGAGGGGGGGCACC